AUCCAGAUGACGAGUCCUAAAUGGAACGAAACGCUCAUCUUGGAU
rnacentral:hammerhead_ribozyme from 1 species